GAUGAAGAACGUAGCGAAAUGCGAUAAGUAAUGCGAAUUGCAGAAUUCAGUGAAUCAUCGAAUCUUUGAACGCACAUUGCGCCCGCCAGUAUUCUGGCGGGCAUGCCUGUUCGAGCGUCAUUUCAACCAUCAAGCCCCCGGCUUGUGUUGGGGACCUGCGGCUGCCGCAGGCCCUGAAAAGCAGUGGCGGGCUCGCUGUCACACCGAGCGUAGUAGCAUACAUCUCGCUCUGGGCGUGCUGCGGGUUCCGGCCGUUAAACCACCUUCAUAACCCAAGGUUGACCUCGGAUCAGGUAGGAAGACCCGCUGAACUUAAGCAUAUCAAUAAGCGAGGA
rnacentral:misc_RNA from 1 species